UGGGGAAUAUUGCACAAUGGACGGAAGUUUGAUGCAGCGACGCCGCGUGGAGGGUGUAGGCCUUCGGGUUGUGAACUCCUUUUUCUCGCGAAAAAGGCACAGUUUUGGCUGUGUUGAUGGUAGUGGGGGAACAUGCGCCGGCUAACUACGUGCCAGCAGCCGCGGUAAUACGUAGGGCGCGAGCGUUGUCCGGACUUAUUGGGCGGAAAGUGCUCGUAGGUGGUUCGUCGCGUCUGUCGUGAAAGCCAGCAGCUUAACUGUUGGUCUGCGGUGGGUACGGGCGGUCUUGAGUGCGGUAGGGGUGACUGGAAUUCCUGGUGUAGCGGUGGAAUGCGCAGAUAUCAGGAGGAACACCGAUGGCGAAGGCAGGUCACUGGGCCGUUACUGACACUGAGGAGCGAAAGCGUGGGGAGCGAACAGG
rnacentral:rRNA from 1 species